rnacentral:rRNA from 1 species
UGGGGAAUAUUGCACAAUGGGCGCAAGCCUGAUGCAGCCAUGCCGCGUGUGUGAAGAAGGCCUUCGGGUUGUAAAGCACUUUCAGCGAGGAGGAAGGUGGUGAGCUUAAUACGCUCAUCAAUUGACGUUACUCGCAGAAGAAGCACCGGCUAACUCCGUGCCAGCAGCCGCGGUAAUACGGAGGGUGCAAGCGUUAAUCGGAAUUACUGGGCGUAAAGCGCACGCAGGCGGUUUGUUAAGUCAGAUGUGAAAUCCCCGGGCUCAACCUGGGAACUGCAUUUGAAACUGGCAAGCUAGAGUCUCGUAGAGGGGGGUAGAAUUCCAGGUGUAGCGGUGAAAUGCGUAGAGAUCUGGAGGAAUACCGGUGGCGAAGGCGGCCCCCUGGACGAAGACUGACGCUCAGGUGCGAAAGCGUGGGGCAGCAAACAGGAUUAGAUACCCUGGUAGUCCACGCUGUAAAACGAUGUCGAUUUGGAGGUUGUGCCCUUGAGGCGUGGCUUCCGGAGCUAACGCGUUAAAGUCGGCCGCCUGGGGA